CCUGCCCCUAGAAGUGAUGCAAGCAUGGCUGUUGUGCCACAUGUACGUCAGUAGGUGGCAGAGAGGAGUGAUGCUAUGUCUAUGCUCAAUGUUCUGAUCUAUGGACAUCUGAAUAAUUAGCAUAAUUAG